GACGAACGCUGGCGGCGUGCUUAACACAUGCAAGUCGAACGGAAAGGCCCUGCUUUUGUGGGGUGCUCGAGUGGCGAACGGGUGAGUAACACGUGAGUAACCUGCCCUUGACUUUGGGAUAACUUCAGGAAACUGGGGCUAAUACCAGAUAGGAGCUCCUGCUGCAUGGUGGGGGUUGGAAAGUUUCGGCGGUUGGGGAUGGACUCGCGGCUUAUCAGCUUGUUGGUGGGGUAGUGGCUUACCAAGGCUUUGACGGGUAGCCGGCCUGAGAGGGUGACCGGCCACAUUGGGACUGAGAUACGGCCCAGACUCCUACGGGAGGCAGCAGUGGGGAAUAUUGCACAAUGGGCGGAAGCCUGAUGCAGCAACGCCGCGUGCGGGAUGACGGCCUUCGGGUUGUAAACUGCUUUCGCCUGUGACGAAGCGUGAGUGACGGUAAUGGGUAAAGAAGCACCGGCUAACUACGUG
rnacentral:rRNA from 1 species